GGUGCUGUUCAGUUGUGGCGUCAUGAGCAACAUCAUGUUAUGAGGGCGGAGCAUGCUGGCUUCAUGGGUGCUUCCAGGAUGGAUGUCCAACACACAAGAAAAAAAACUCAAAGAAACGCUUGGAAUGGUAGUAGGUUUUUUUUUUUUUUUUUUUGUCUUUGUUUGUUUUUACCUCUCUGUUCUAUUUUGGCACUCGAGAGAAGAGGAGGAGGAGUGGGCAGUGAAAGUGCAAAAAGAGGGCAUGGAAGAGUGUGUAGUGGGCGGGGUCAACAAGGUACACAAAGAAAUGGCAUUUUGUUAUAACUGGGUCUAAGUUAGACAGCGCAUUCAAUACAAAUCCAAAACCAGGAAACAAACAAACAAACAAACAAAAAACAACAAGAAAGAAGUCAGAAAUCAAACAGUGAUAUGACAAAUGCAGUCUACAGUUGCUGGUGCUUCAAUGGGGCCCGAGUCGGGGUGGGUGGUGACAGCAGAGCAGUGAGUGCACAUUGUACUCAGUGGGGGCAGAAAACGAGCCACACACCCACUCAGAAGCACUGAGGUCACCUGACGAGCAGGCAAACCCCAUGUUUACACGCUGCAGGGAGAAACAAACAAAACAUAUCUGGCUAGGCAGACGCCACCAGCAUGCAGCCAGCCCAAAUUAAAGUCAGAAAGAGGAGCAUGCACGUCUAAACACACGCCGACAAAACACCUACAGUAAGCCUACACAUCUACAGUAGUCUCAGGCACGGACCCCAACCUCGGCCACGCCCGUCUGCCACGGCAGACGCCAAACAUGACCACAUGGAGAAAAGACCAAUGCUAAAUCUGCCAUCUGUCAUUUUGUUGGACAUCAAAAGCCCCUUUUCCACAAGGUCACAUUAACCAGAACCAAUCCGUACCUGGGACCUGAAAGAUCCACCGGUCUUACGUGUCAGUCUUUUUCUGAUACGCACAAAGUCACAGGAGAACGGCUGAGAGAGAUGAUCAGAAAUCUUAUCAGAACUCCAGGUGUGUCAAUCUGUAACUCAAUGAUAAUCCAGUCCCAUCAAAAUGGUCUCUGACCAAACCUUGGAGUGCUGCAUCCCGCCUCUCUGUGCCCAGCAGGCAAAGACAGCAGGGUUGGGGUGGCACAGAUUUAUGAAAAUGUCAAUAGAAAUUACAAAUCAGCAUGUCACUGUCAAUGAUGUCAUUUUUUAAUGACUAAACAAGAUCCAGUUUUGCUUAUGCCGGCGCUGUUUCGUCACGAGAUCUUUAAAGAGGGAAGAGCAGCAAUUACAAAACUGUGCCUGCAGCCGGGUCCAUUAGAAAUUUGUACAAAUGUUUAUCGAUAUUUUCAGAAUGUCAA